AUUGAACGCUGGCGGCAGGCCUAACACAUGCAAGUCGAGCGGGGUUUUCGGACCUAGCGGCGGACGGGUGAGUAAUGCGUAGGAAGCUGCCCGAUAGAGGGGGAUACCAGUUGGAAACGACUGUUAAUACCGCAUAAUGUCUACGGACCAAAGUGUGGGACCUUAGGGCCACAUGCUAUCGGAUGCGCCUACGUGGGAUUAGCUAGUUGGUGAGGUAAGGCCUACCAAGGCGACGAUCUGUAGCGGGUCUGAGAGGAUGAUCCGCCGCACUGGGACUGAGACACGGCCCAGACUCCUACGGGAGGCAGCAGUGGGGAAUAUUGGACAAUGGGCGGAAGCCGGAUCCAGCCAUGCCGCGUGUGUGAAGAAGGCCUUUUGGUUGUAAAGCACUUUAAGCGGGGAGGAGGCUACCUAGAUUAAUACUCUGGGAUAGUGGACGUUACUCGCAGAAUAAGCACCGGCUAACUCUGUGCCGGCAGCCGCCGUAACAC
rnacentral:rRNA from 1 species